rnacentral:rRNA from 1 species
UACGUAGGGUGCGAGCGUUGUCCGGAAUUAUUGGGCGUAAAGGGCUCGUAGGCGGUUUGUCGCGUCGGGUGUGAAAUCCACUGGCUUAACUGGGGGCUUGCUUUCGAUACGGGCAGGCUGGAGGUAUGCAGGGGAGAACGGAAUUCCUGGUGUAGCGGUGAAAUGCGCAGAUAUCAGGAGGAACACCGGUGGCGAAGGCGGUUCUCUGGGCAUGUCCUGACGCUGAGGAGCGAAAGUGUGGGGAGCGAACAGG